GACGAACGCUGGCGGCGUGCUUAACACAUGCAAGUCGAACGGAGUGGCGAACGGGUGAGUAACACGUGGGUGAUCUGCCUUGCACUUCGGGAUAAGCUUGGGAAACUGGGUCUAAUACCGGAUAGUGCAAGAUGAGCUCGCGGCCUAUCAGCUUGUUGGUGGGGUAAUGGCCUACCAAGGCGUCGACGGGUAGCCGGCCUGAGGGGGUGUACGGCCACAUUGGGAACGAGGUACGGCCCAGACGCGUACGGGAGGCAGCAGGGGGGAAUAUUGCACAAUCGGCGGAAGUCGGACGCAGCGACGCCGCGUGGGGGAUGCAGGCUUUCGGGUUGUAAACUCCUUUCGACAGGGACGCGGUACCUGUAUAAGUAGCACCGGCUAACUACGUGCCAGCAGCCGCGGUAAUAC
rnacentral:rRNA from 1 species